CAAUCAUCAUAACUCAACUUAUGCACAAGCAAAUGAGAUAAUAAAAGAGAAAACCAAUCAACCAAGGCUAUCUGAACAUAAGAGAUCGAACUAAUCAGAUCAAUUUUGGACUUAAUUAGUUGAACAUGAAUUAACCAGUUGGAAUCUUAACGUUAAUGACUAAGCAUCUUCAGGAUAGGCCCACUGUGGAAGAAUUAGUAACAAACAAAUAAUUUUUGGGCCUGAAAGUUUCCCGUUACCAAAGCUAAAUCACAAUGGAAGGUUCUAUUUCGAACCCAUACCAAUAUAGAACUUUAAUGAUUUGUGAGCUCAACACUUUAUUAGACAUAACCUCAAUCUUAAGCAUAUUAAUGACAAAACAACAAGUAUGGUUACAGAUAUAGAAACCUCAAAUCCUGCCUCAUGAAAUUAGUAACAGAGAAAUUCUAACAUAACAUAUAUUGUUCAAAAUUUGCAUACAUAACACUUCUUAUAGAAGAGAAAAGGAAGAAGAAAAAGAAAAGAAAUUAACCCUGCAACUUAACAUAGACUCAAUUGUUUCAUAUGAAGCAUUGUUAUUCAUUUCCCCUUUAUUAAACAAAGUCCAGUAAGUCCUAAAUUACUUAUACUCCAACCAAAACAGAAAUACAUUUAUAGCAUUAGAUGGUCCACUUAAUUACACAUGAACAACUCGAUUAUGAAAGCAAUAAAGCAGAGAUGUUCACAAAAUCAAAGACAUUCCAUGAAUAUUAAUUGAUGUUAAGCAAGAAAACUUCCAUUUUUAUUUCAUUUGCCAAUCUGAGCAUCACAGUUACAAGUGUAAGAAUGUGUACCUGAAAUUGAGGGAAAUAACAAAAAGAUAGAUUAGAAGCUGCAUUUUAAUAGGUGUUGAAAACAGCAACACGCAACCCAGACCAGUGAUGAAAUCACAGAAGUUUCCCAGAUCCAAUAGAACAAUAAUUUCCAGUCCAAAACCAAGAAAAAUGCAAAUCAAACAGCAAAAAUUAAUCCCAAACAACCAAAUAACUCGACAAAACACCCAAAUCUGAGAUCAAGUAUCUAACUUUCAGACCAUUUCAUAGCCUGUACAUACAGAGAAAACCAAAUUUGAUUCAGAGAUGAAAAACUUUCAAAAUCCAGGCCUCAAAUAUGAUAGAAUAGAAUCAAUCACUGAUUUUCUAUGUUUUUUCUCUCUAAUGCUUAGAUUUGAUCUCUCCAAAAAACUUCAACUGCAAGAAACUACGCCUUGCUAUGUAAGUUACUAGGGCAUUUCUAAGGGUUGAACUAUUCCAAGUUAGUUCCUUUUACAUUUUUCUUUUUGCUACCUAGUCCUGCUAUUAUUGACUUGGUGCCCGAGUUUAAAUAGCCAAAAAUAGUAAAUCCACAUAGAACCCCUAAUAGAGACUUCUACAAUCAGUUAUUAAAGAUUCCUCAUGCCUGAUUACCCACACUACCCUUAACAUACCUGUAUGUACUAUUCAAAACCAGAAUGGGUCAAAGGGCCCAAUGGCUUAAGCCCAAAUAGAACUAGGCUGCUUUCAAACCAGUCAAAGAUGAACUGAAACGCAAGCACUGAACUACCCAACUAAUUAUCUAUAAGCACUAGGAAGAACGUGAAAGAACAAAUACCAAACGAUUUCCACACUCAACACCUUAACCAAAUUAUUGGCUAAUUAACACCCAUAUGCAGAUAAUUAACCAAGUUAUUAAAUCAAAAUGACCUAACAAAGUCAAACUAAUCAGCUAAUCAAAGGAUGAAAUCAGACUUCUAAUGAAUCUUAUUACCCAAACUUUAACGAACCAAAACAAAUUAGAAAAUUAACGAGCGACAAAGAAACAUAACUUUUUCCCAAAAGAAAUCCAAUCGAGUCUUAAUUGAAUCAACUAGGGAAAAGAAAGAGAUAUGAGGGAGAAUAAAAGAGAACUUACACUCAGCAGGAACCAUGAAUGAAAGAAGAACUUACCGAUUUAAGUUCAACGUCGUCAGUUCAUCUGCUUAGACCCCAAAAUAAUGCGACUCACCUACUCUUUGACAAGAAUACACGAGUAGUAUCAUUUGGAGGUCAAAUAGACCUUGGAAACUCGGAUAACUUCGGAGGGAAGAGUUUGCAUGGCAACAAAGAUCCUUGACCUUUAGGUCUGAAAACCCUAAUUUUAAGAUUCGACAUUUUUGGGAGGUAUUCAAACUAAACUAACUGGGGAUUUGGGAUGAGGGAGGGAAGGAGACCCUAGGGUCUUAAUUUGGGAGUAUUUAGUGGCGAGCUGCCGGGCGCCAACGCGAUGGGGAAAGGUGUCGGCUAGGGUUUAUUUUUGGUCUCUAAGGAGGGGGAGAACAUGAGAGAUGAUGAAGGGCGGAGGAUGAGGGUGAUUCGGACAUAUACAUAUUAUUGCACCCUACUUUAGAGUUGUUGGAUCUAAAGAUCCAACAGUUGUGAUUGAAGCUUCAAUAAAAUGGGGCGUUUUAGUUAGGGACGAGGUUGUUUGG
rnacentral:lncRNA from 1 species